rnacentral:rRNA from 2 species
GGGUUGUGAGGUUAAGCGACUAAGCGUACACGGUGGAUGCCCUGGCAGUCAGAGGCGAUGAAGGACGUGCUAAUCUGCGAUAAGCGUCGGUAAGGUGAUAUGAACCGUUAUAACCGGCGAUUUCCGAAUGGGGAAACCCAGUGUGUUUCGACACACUAUCAUUAACUGAAUCCAUAGGUUAAUGAGGCGAACCGGGGGAACUGAAACAUCUAAGUACCCCGAGGAAAAGAAAUCAACCGAGAUUCCCCCAGUAGCGGCGAGCGAACGGGGAGCAGCCCAGAGCCUGAAUCAGUGUGUGUGUUAGUGGAAGCGUCUGGAAAGGCGCGCGAUACAGGGUGACAGCCCCGUACACAAAAAUGCACAUGCUGUGAGCUCGAUGAGUAGGGCGGGACACGUGGUAUCCUGUCUGAAUAUGGGGGGACCAUCCUCCAAGGCUAAAUACUCCUGACUGACCGAUAGUGAACCAGUACCGUGAGGGAAAGGCGAAAAGAACCCCGGCGAGGGGAGUGAAAAAGAACCUGAAACCGUGUACGUACAAGCAGUGGGAGCACAGAGCAAUCUGUGUGACUGCGUACCUUUUGUAUAAUGGGUCAGCGACUUAUAUUCUGUAGCAAGGUUAACCGAAUAGGGGAGCCGAAGGGAAACCGAGUCUUAACUGGGCGUUAAGUUGCAGGGUAUAGACCCGAAACCCGGUGAUCUAGCCAUGGGCAGGUUGAAGGUUGGGUAACACUAACUGGAGGACCGAACCGACUAAUGUUGAAAAAUUAGCGGAUGACUUGUGGCUGGGGGUGAAAGGCCAAUCAAACCGGGAGAUAGCUGGUUCUCCCCGAAAGCUAUUUAGGUAGCGCCUCGUGAAUUCAUCUCCGGGGGUAGAGCACUGUUUCGGCAAGGGGGUCAUCCCGACUUACCAACCCGAUGCAAACUGCGAAUACCGGAGAAUGUUAUCACGGGAGACACACGGCGGGUGCUAACGUCCGUCGUGAAGAGGGAAACAACCCAGACCGCCAGCUAAGGUCCCAAAGUCAUGGUUAAGUGGGAAACGAUGUGGGAAGGCCCAGACAGCCAGGAUGUUGGCUUAGAAGCAGCCAUCAUUUAAAGAAAGCGUAAUAGCUCACUGGUCGAGUCGGCCUGCGCGGAAGAUGUAACGGGGCUAAACCAUGCACCGAAGCUGCGGCAGCGACGCUUAUGCGUUGUUGGGUAGGGGAGCGUUCUGUAAGCCUGUGAAGGUGUGCUGUGAGGCAUGCUGGAGGUAUCAGAAGUGCGAAUGCUGACAUAAGUAACGAUAAAGCGGGUGAAAAGCCCGCUCGCCGGAAGACCAAGGGUUCCUGUCCAACGUUAAUCGGGGCAGGGUGAGUCGACCCCUAAGGCGAGGCCGAAAGGCGUAGUCGAUGGGAAACAGGUUAAUAUUCCUGUACUUGGUGUUACUGCGAAGGGGGGACGGAGAAGGCUAUGUUGGCCGGGCGACGGUUGUCCCGGUUUAAGCGUGUAGGCUGGUUUUCCAGGCAAAUCCGGAAAAUCAAGGCUGAGGCGUGAUGACGAGGCACUACGGUGCUGAAGCAACAAAUGCCCUGCUUCCAGGAAAAGCCUCUAAGCAUCAGGUAACAUCAAAUCGUACCCCAAACCGACACAGGUGGUCAGGUAGAGAAUACCAAGGCGCUUGAGAGAACUCGGGUGAAGGAACUAGGCAAAAUGGUGCCGUAACUUCGGGAGAAGGCACGCUGAUAUGUAGGUGAAGUCCCUCGCGGAUGGAGCUGAAAUCAGUCGAAGAUACCAGCUGGCUGCAACUGUUUAUUAAAAACACAGCACUGUGCAAACACGAAAGUGGACGUAUACGGUGUGACGCCUGCCCGGUGCCGGAAGGUUAAUUGAUGGGGUUAGCGGUAACGCGAAGCUCUUGAUCGAAGCCCCGGUAAACGGCGGCCGUAACUAUAACGGUCCUAAGGUAGCGAAAUUCCUUGUCGGGUAAGUUCCGACCUGCACGAAUGGCGUAAUGAUGGCCAGGCUGUCUCCACCCGAGACUCAGUGAAAUUGAACUCGCUGUGAAGAUGCAGUGUACCCGCGGCAAGACGGAAAGACCCCGUGAACCUUUACUAUAGCUUGACACUGAACAUUGAGCCUUGAUGUGUAGGAUAGGUGGGAGGCUUUGAAGUGUGGACGCCAGUCUGCAUGGAGCCGGCCUUGAAAUACCACCCUUUAAUGUUUGAUGUUCUAACGUUGGCCCCUGAUCGGGGUUGCGGACAGUGUCUGGUGGGUAGUUUGACUGGGGCGGUCUCCUCCUAAAGAGUAACGGAGGAGCACGAAGGUUGGCUAAUCCUGGUCGGACAUCAGGAGGUUAGUGCAAUGGCAUAAGCCAGCUUGACUGCGAGCGUGACGGCGCGAGCAGGUGCGAAAGCAGGUCAUAGUGAUCCGGUGGUUCUGAAUGGAAGGGCCAUCGCUCAACGGAUAAAAGGUACUCCGGGGAUAACAGGCUGAUACCGCCCAAGAGUUCAUAUCGACGGCGGUGUUUGGCACCUCGAUGUCGGCUCAUCACAUCCUGGGGCUGAAGUAGGUCCCAAGGGUAUGGCUGUUCGCCAUUUAAAGUGGUACGCGAGCUGGGUUUAGAACGUCGUGAGACAGUUCGGUCCCUAUCUGCCGUGGGCGCUGGAGAACUGAGGGGGGCUGCUCCUAGUACGAGAGGACCGGAGUGGACGCAUCACUGGUGUUCGGGUUGUCAUGCCAAUGGCACUGCCCGGUAGCUAAAUGCGGAAGAGAUAAGUGCUGAAAGCAUCUAAGCACGAAACUUGCCCCGAGAUGAGUUCUCCCUGACUCCUUGAGAGUCCUGAAGGAACGUUGAAGACGACGACGUUGAUAGGCCGGGUGUGUAAGCGCAGCGAUGCGUUGAGCUAACCGGUACUAAUGAACCGUGAGGCUUAACCUUACAACGCCGAAG